rnacentral:rRNA from 1 species
GAUGAACGCUGGCGGCAUGCCUAACACAUGCAAGUCGAUCGGUAAGGCUCCUCGGAGUACACGAGAGGCGGACGGCUGAGUAACGCGUAGGAACACACCCUGCAGUGAGGGAUAAGACACCGAAAGGUGUUCUAAUACCGCAUACGGUCUUCGGAUUAAAGCAUUUAUGCGCUGAAGGAGUGGCCUGCGUCAUAUUAGAUAGUUGGUGAGGUAAUGGCUCACCAAGUCGAUGAUGUGUAGCUGGUCUGAGAGGAUGAUCAGCCAGACUGGAACUGAGACACGGUCCAGACUCCUACGGGAGGCAGCAGUGAGGAAUAUUUCACAAUGAGCGAAAGCUUGAUGGAGCAAUGCCGCGUGCAGGAUGAAGGCCCUCGGGUUGUAAACUGCUUUUAUAAGAGAAGAUUAUGACGGUAACUUAUGAAUAAGGGACGGCUAACUACGUG